UCUUCCGUAGGGGUAACCUGCGGAGGGAUCAUUACACAAAUAUGAAGGCGGGCUGGAACCUCUCGGGGUUACAGCCUUGCUGAAUUAUUCACCCUUGUCUUUUGCGUACUUCUUGUUUCCUUGGUGGGUUCGCCCACCACUAGGACAAACAUAAACCUUUUGUAAUUGCAAUCAGCGUCAGUAACAAAUUAAUAAUUACAACUUUCAACAACGGAUCUCUUGGUUCUGGCAUCGAUGAAGAACGCAGCGAAAUGCGAUAAGUAGUGUGAAUUGCAGAAUUCAGUGAAUCAUCGAAUCUUUGAACGCACAUUGCGCCCUUUGGUAUUCCAAAGGGCAUGCCUGUUCGAGCGUCAUUUGUACCCUCAAGCUUUGCUUGGUGUUGGGCGUCUUGUCUCUAGCUUUGCUGGAGACUCGCCUUAAAGUAAUUGGCAGCCGGCCUACUGGUUUCGGAGCGCAGCACAAGUCGCACUCUCUAUCAGCAAAGGUCUAGCAUCCAUUAAGCCUUUUUUCAACUUUUGACCUCGGAUCAGGUAGGGAUACCCGCUGAACUUAAGCAUAUCAAAAGCCGGAGGAAACUU
rnacentral:rRNA from 1 species